GUUCCGAAAAGUAACUAAAACUGAAAAAAAAAUCUAGGAAAACAUAGGCCUCAACGAUGGAUUUUGGGGGUCCGAAACAACAGAUGGUUGCCCCUUUUGAAUUGGGGUAAUUUGCGUCAUUUCGACACCCGUAACAAAAGGACCCUGACUACUGUUUCUGCCAUCCUUGUGCUGGUCUUCCCUGUUAACAACGUCCAGUGCCAUCAACUCUGUAUCUGGCAACUCAGCUCCUCUAGAAUCUCUUGCAUCACUUUCUCAAUGCCAUAUCAAAUUUUACAUUUACCUGAUUGCUUCUCUUCCCUCCACCUGUUUUCUAACAUAGUUAGUUGAGAAUCCGAGAUGAGUACUUUGGCAAAUGCAAAAUGAUACGAAACGAAACUUCAUGCAUACCAAGCCUGAAUGAUAGUUUGAAGACAGAGGUUGAACAGACCUGGCUUCAUGGUUCAUUCAAAAGAAGUUCAACCUCAACAGGAGAAAGAACCACAACACUUGGGAGUAGAUCAGUUAUUCCUUGAUGACAGCAGAGAUUGAUCACUCUCCAGAAACGAGACAGCAGAUCUUCAUUGCACAGACCAUUCCUAACUUUCAUUUUCUUAUUUUUUUCAGACUAAACUCGAGAAAUGACCUAUGCUCGGGGUGAAUGUGAAAUCAAGAAAGGGUAAAACAAACAGACAACCGCUGGCCAAAGUCGCAGAGACCAGGAAAUCCAAAAUGACAUAUCUGGGCCCCGUCGAAGCAACAGUUCAGAGCUGCAACAGAAGAGAUCUUGACAGAAUCGGAUGUUUGCUUGUACUUUUGGAACUCUGUAUUGCCAAUAUUUUGCAACAAAUAUUUUUUCUGCAACAGCACUAACAAAACCAGCCCUCCUAACACAGUGUUCUUUGCCAAAAUCCAUUUGAAGAGAGGUGUUGUAUUCUACUGGUCUAGGUGCCAAAACCACUGCAUUUGUGCUUUAAAAUAGAAGUACACAACACAGGUGAAUGAUAAAUUUACCUCUCUCUCUCUGUUUUCUGAUUUUACAACUGUAUCAAGAAUUCUGAUAACAUCUUAGCUUUAAUUAUCACCAAUCAUGACUUUCAAUGGA